GGUUGAUCCUGCCAGCGAUGUAUGCUUUGUCCAAAGAUUAAGCCAUGCAAGUGUCAGUUCAGCAAAUUAUUGUGAAACUGCGAACGGCUCAUUAAAUCAGUUAUAAUUUACUUGACAGUCAGCUUACUAUCGGAUAACCGUGGUAAUUCUAGAGCUAAUACGUACGACAAGUCUGUUUUGCAGGCUGUAUUUAUUGGAUUUGAAACUGGUGCCGCUUGGCGUGGUGAUUCACAAUAACUGGACGGAUCGUGGGUGUAUGUCUGCGACGUUUCAAUGAAAUUUCUGCCCUAUCA
rnacentral:rRNA from 1 species